rnacentral:pre_miRNA from 1 species
CCUUGUCGGGAUCAGGUUUCGCGAUUGACGAUCUGUAUUUAUAUUUUUUAAUAUUCAAUGAAAAAUAUAUAAUAUUAAAACUUUAAGUUCGUUGUCGACGAAACCUGCAUACUGCAAGG